AACAAAAUCUCCCUCCUGCUAGUGUUGAAUCUAUAAGUUGUGCAGGUGCUUCUUCAUUCUUUUGUUCUGAACCCGUGUGCACAAGCUCUAGAACUUCCGAGUCAGAACCAGAAGAAUUUGAAAGCUGUAUGAGCAGUGCAAAGAAUGCUAGUACUUCUUUUAUUCGUUUUCCGACGUUUGGAAGGGGUUUUGAUACUUCUGGUACCGAGAUACUUAUUGUGGAAUUAGGGAGUGUAUCUCCUGAUGUGCUUUCGGGUGGUGUUUCUGAUAUUAGUAGCCGUGAAGCAAGAAGGAAUACUGGGGCUACUUGUCAUAUCUAUUGUGCAUCGAAGUGAUCAUGCGGUUCAAAGGGAUCACAACCUAUAUAUCUGGAUAAUUCCCUAAAAGCCACUAGCUAGUGGAUGAAAUGCACAGACAUCAUCUAUCACGUUCAAUGCGAACGCUCUCACUACCUGCACCAGUGUCUGUUGUAGAUUCAUUUCCCCUUAAAAGUCACAAGAAGAUGAAUGCUUCUGAAAGUGGACCGAAACAGGUGUUACAUUUGUCUGGCUGAUUAUGAAGAAGGAGAUAAAAUUAGAGUUCUUCCAUGCCAACAUGAAUAUCAUGCCCCUUGUGUUGAUAAAUGUCUUAAAGAAGUUAAUGGCGUGUGUCCGAUAUGCAGGUGCAACUUUGUGACGCUCCUUCGGUCCCGACUUCGUAUACAUAUGCACAUUUCAACACAACCAUAGUAUGUAAAUAUUGAAGACAGAUACAUGUUGAAUUGUUCAUACAGUGAUGAUGAAUGUUAUCUUCUUUUAUCUA